CAUGGUGGGUUUUGUUCUUGUCAAUCUCCAUCUUUGCCAGCAUUUGCUUCAGGUCUUGCUUCUUCACCAAAAUCUUCAUCUGAACUAUCCCAUCUUCAUAG